GCGUGAGGAACCUGCCUUUCAGUGGGGGACAACAGUUGGAAACGACUGCUAAUACCGCAUAACACUUUUUGGGGACAUCCCCGAAAAGUCAAAGCUUUAUGUGCUGAAAGAUGGCCUCGCGUCUGAUUAGCUAGUUGGCGGGGUAACGGCCCACCAAGGCGACGAUCAGUAGCCGGUCUGAGAGGAUGAACGGCCACAUUGGGACUGAGAUACGGCCCAGACUCCUACGGGAGGCAGCAGUGGGGAAUAUUGGGCAAUGGGGGAAACCCUGACCCAGCAACGCCGCGUGAAGGAAGAAGGCCCUCGGGUUGUAAACUUCUUUUACCAGGGACGAAGGACGUGACGGUACCUGGAGAAAAAGCAACGGCUAACUACGUGCCAGCAGCCGCGGUAAUACGUAGGUUGCAAGCGUUGUCCGGAUUUACUGGGUGUAAAGGGCGUGUAGGCGGAGAUGCAAGUUGGGAGUGAAAUCCCGGGGCUCAACCCCGGAACUGCUUUCAAAACUGUAUCCCUUGAGUAUCGGAGAGGCAAGCGGAAUUCCUAGUGU
rnacentral:rRNA from 1 species